rnacentral:rRNA from 1 species
UACGAAGGGGGCUAGCGUUGCUCGGAAUGACUGGGCGUAAAGGGCGCGUAGGCGGUUUGUACAGUCAGAUGUGAAAUUCCUGGGCUCAACCUGGGGGCUGCAUUUGAUACGUGCGGACUUGAGUGAGGAAGAGGGUCGUGGAAUUCCCAGUGUAGAGGUGAAAUUCGUAGAUAUUGGGAAGAACACCGGUGGCGAAGGCGGCGAGCUGGUCCAUUACUGACGCUGAGGCACGAAAGCGUGGGGAGCAAACAGGG